AAUCACGUCAAACGAUAAUCCGGCAAUAUCUCCUUCCCACAUCCCCGGGCUAACCUCCGGGUCCGCUUGUUUCAGGUUAAGCUGUACAUUUCGAUCAUAGUCAACGACUGUGAUACGUGAAUAUCACAUUAUUAAAUCAGGAACGAAAGUGAAGAAAUUUCUGGGAAUGGCAUUGGCUUUGGCAGAGGACUUGCCAGCGAAUACGCAACUAGCAUAACAAUUAACAUCAAUCCGCUGCAGUGCUGCCAAAGAAAAGAGUGCAAUGAUGCUUAAACGUCUUCUGUAUGGGUUAUCAAGGUCAUCAAGAAUUUUUUCAUGGACACGUGUGACACUUUGCGUUUCAAAAUGUUUGCUCGUUACGAGUAUUAAUUGGUUUGAAACGCGUCGCAACUGUGUGGCAAUCCCGGGGAAUCUCUGACAUUAAAUCUACUGAUCCGUUCGGGCAGCCGCCAGCCAUCCGAUUUAACCAGUAGUUGCAAACUCGUCAAGGCCAAGGUCCCGCAUUUGUACAGGAAGUAGGAACUAGCGAGGUCACUAAGGUCCAUGACCCGGUGACUACCCCGCACACAGGCUCAAAGGUUAAAUCGAAGAUAUCGGAUGGAAUCUGUUCCCAAAUCCUGUUGCAACUGACGUUCUGUGUAGUCGGUCGUGGAAAUCUGAGAAGCCAUGGACUUUGAAAAAAUGGUAUUAAUCAAGCUUGGCCGCCAUUACGUGACCGUCAUUUCUUUUCCUCCUUGCGUAAAUCACCCGUCACGUGUCCUGACAUUUUUCUUGCAUCGCAAGCGUUUGUCGACGUUCGUUUUGUGCGUCCUAGAGCAGUAAAGGCGCAGUUCAGUCGUAAGCUCACGGUGGCAAGAAAAGAAAACGGCAACUUACAUGCCAGUGAGAUGAUGUUCCAUUAUUCACGAUUCCAUCAACGAUCGUUUUCAUUGAUGUUUACCGAAACAGUUCCAAGAAACAGAUAUCGGUAGCUGCAGGGGACGUCCUGCUGAUACUUUUUGCCCAGAAAUUUAGUCCCUCAAGUCACGUACGGUUUUUCAUAUUAGUUUUUUUUUAGAGCGACUACAAUUUGCAGCUAUCACUUUCUUGAUUGCGACGAAUAACUGACGUUCCUACGUCUACUGCACUCUAAUUGAUAUCUUUAAGGUCAUUGACCGUUUUGCCUCUUGUUCUUUUCGGUUCGAUUUUUUUAGCAUAAUUUUUAUUCGGCUCCUAGACUCCAAGACUACUCCGUAGGUGUCCCCCUUUUGCCGUACCGCUGUACCAACAGGAGGGAUUCAAACGCAUCGAUUUUAUAAACAAGAGUCGGGGAAUGAGAGAGAUCAUGCCACCUUCCCUACGACGUUGUCGAAAAGGAUGGACCAAUAUAGACGACCUUGCCAUUGACCGAUAAAUGAGAUAGGUGAUUCCGAUCUGACGUGAACAACACAUACCAACAACUCAACAGCUGUUGGUUUUGUUUGCAGCCUGUCACAAAAAGAUGGUGGCAUUGUCAUGUAGUUGUGAAGCCUUGUAAAGAAAGCAUUUCUUCCGCAUUGGCUCACUCCGCUUGAUGUCUGUAGGAGCCUGCGGUACCCCGACAAAAAUAUUUUUGAAGAAUGCUUCACUAGCUAACCACUUAAGG